GGGCCCGCACAAGCGGUGGAGCAUGUGGUUUAAUUCGACGCAACGCGCAGAACCUUACCAGGCCUUGACAUCCCGUGCUAAGCCCAGAGAUGGGUGGUCCCCGCAAGGGGCGCGGAGACAGGUGCUGCAUGGCUGUCGUCAGCUCGUGUCGUGAGAUGUUGGGUUAAGUCCCGCAACGAGCGCAACCCUCGCCUUUAGUUGCCAUCAUUUGGUUGGGCACUCUAAAGGGACCGCCGGCGACAAGCCGGAGGAAGGUGGGGAUGACGUCAAGUCCUCAUGGCCCUUACGGCCUGGGCUACACACGUGCUACAAUGGCGGUGACAGUGGGCAGCGACCACGCGAGUGGAUGCGAAUCCCAAAAAACCGUCCCAGUUCAGAUUGCACUCUGCAACUCGGGUGCAUGAAGGUGGAAUCGCUAGUAAUCGCAGAACAGCAGGCUGCGGUGAAUACGUUCCCGGGCCUU
rnacentral:rRNA from 1 species